rnacentral:rRNA from 1 species
GACGAACGCUGGCGGCGUGCCUAAUACAUGCAAGUCGAACGCAGUGGGGACGGGUGCGUAACACGUGGGUAACCUCCCAUCAGAGGGGAUAACACUUGGCAACAGGUGCUAAACCGCUACUGAUGGAUGGACCCGCGGUGCAUUAGCUAGUUGGUGGGGUAACGGCUCACCAAGGCCACGAUGCAUAGCCGACCUGAGAGGGUGAUCGGCCACACUGGGACUGAGACACGGCCCAGACUCCUACGGGAGGCAGCAGUGGGGAAUCUUCGGCAAUGGGCGAAAGUCUGAUCGAGCAAUGCCGCGUGAGUGAAGAAGGUUUUCGGGUCGUAAAGCUCUGUUGGUAGAGAAGCGGUAUCUACACAGGAAGCCACGGCUAACUACGUGCCAGCAGCCGCGGUAAUAC